UCCCAGGUGGCUCAGUGGUAAAGAACCUGCUCGCCCAUGCAGGAGACCCGGGUUCAAUCCCUGGGUUGGGAA
rfam:TPA: Bos taurus chromosome 13, whole genome shotgun sequence.